rnacentral:rRNA from 1 species
UGGGGAAUUUUGGACAAUGGGCGAAAGCCUGAUCCAGCAAUGCCGCGUGUGUGAAGAAGGCCUUCGGGUUGUAAAGCACUUUUGUCCGGAAAGAAAUCCUUGGCUCUAAUACAGUCGGGGGAUGACGGUACCGGAAGAAUAAGCACCGGCUAACUACGUGCCAGCAGCCGCGGUAAUACGUAGGGUGCAAGCGUUAAUCGGAAUUACUGGGCGUAAAGCGUGCGCAGGCGGUUUGCUAAGACCGAUGUGAAAUCCCCGGGCUCAACCUGGGAACUGCAUUGGUGACUGGCAGGCUAGAGUAUGGCAGAGGGGGGUAGAAUUCCACGUGUAGCAGUGAAAUGCGUAGAGAUGUGGAGGAAUACCGAUGGCGAAGGCAGCCCCCUGGGCCAAUACUGACGCUCAUGCACGAAAGGCGUGGGGAGCAAACAGGAUUAGAUACCCUGGUAGUCCACGCCCUAAACGAUGUCAACUAGUUGUUGGGGACUCAUUUCCUUAGUAACGUAGCUAACGCGUGAAGUUGACCGCCUGGGGAGUACGGUCGCAAGAUUAAAACUCAAAUGAAUUGACGGGGUCAUAGCU